CUCUCUUCCUGGGGAACUGCCUGCAUGCAGUAAGGGGAGAGCCGGACACAGUUGCUAUGGUAAAUCACUGUCAGUAUUUUUCUAAGUGCCUGGACUGAAUGACGAUGUCUGAGGAACCCAACUUGAUGUUCGGAGCAUCCAACAGUUCACGGUCCUGAACUGUUAAUUUAUGGAGACCCGCUUCCCUCAGAAACUCUACACCAUCUAUCGGAUCAUCCGAAGAGGAUUCAUAAAAUUUUUUAAAAUGGUCUGCCAUUAUGUUUCUCAUCUGUAAUGUAUCAUGAGUCCAUCCCGUAUCAGUUUUUAGUUUUUGUAUAUGGGCAUUAUUAAUUCGUCUUUUAGCAAUUUGUGCCAAUAAUUUCCCUGACUUGUUUCCAUAUCUAUAAAAUUUAUUGGUAGUAUGGCAAAUUGAUUUAUGUGCUUUUUCCGUCAAUAAAAUAUCAAAAAGUU